GAAUUUUGGACAAUGGGCGAAAGCCUGAUCCAGCAAUGCCGCGUGCAGGAUGAAGGCCUUCGGGUUGUAAACUGCUUUUGUACGGAACGAAAAGUCUCGGGAUAAUACCCUGGGACCCUGACGGUACCGUAAGAAUAAGCACCGGCCAACUCGUUGCCGGCAGCCGCGGUAAUGCAGAGGGUGCAAGCGUUAAUCGGAAUUACUGGGCGUAAAGCGUGCGCCGGCGGUUUUGUAAGACAGAGGUGAAAUCCCCGGGCUCAACCUGGGAACUGCCUUUGUGACUGCAAGGCUAGAGUACGGCAGAGGGGGGUGGAAUUCCGCGUGUAGCAGUGAAAUGCGUAGAUAUGCGGAGGAACACCGAUGGCGAAGGCAACCCCCUGGGCCUGUACUGACGCUCAUGCACGAAAGCGUGGGGAGCAAACAG
rnacentral:rRNA from 1 species